UCUCCGUAGGUGAACCUGCGGAGGGAUCAUUACAGAGUUCAUGCCCUACCGGGUAGAUCUCCCACCCUAUGUUAUUAUUACUUUGUUGCUUUGGCGGGCCGUUAGGCUCCGGCCCGACUACCGGCCCCGGCUGGUAAGCGCCCGCCAGAGGACCUAAGACCCUGAAUAUUAGUGUCGUCUGAGUACUAUAUAAUAGUUAAAACUUUCAACAACGGAUCUCUUGGUUCUG
rnacentral:misc_RNA from 1 species